rnacentral:rRNA from 1 species
AGUGCCUGUACCAUAAACCGACACAGGUGGGUAAGUAGAGAAUACUAAGGGGCGCGAGAUAACUCUCUCUAAGGAACUCGGCAAAAUAACCCCGUAACUUUGGGAGAAGGGGUGCCUAUUAGGCUGCAAUAACAAGGCCCAAGCGACUGUUUACCAAAAACACAGGUCUCCGCAAAGUCGCAAGACAAUGUAUGGGGGCUGACGCCUGCCCAGUGCCGGAAGGUUAAGGACGUUGGUUAGUCUAUGACAAAGCUGACAACCGAAGCCCCGGUGAACGGCGGCCGUAACAAUAACGGUCCUAAGGUAGCGA